GACGAACCGUGCGAACGUUGUUCGGAAUCACUGGGCUUAAAGGGCGCGUAGGCGGGUUUCAAGUCUGUGGUGAAAUCCUCCAGCUUAACUGGAGAAGUCGCCGUGGAUACUGGGGACCUCGAGGUGGGUAGGGGCAUCUGGAACAGCCGGUGGAGCGGUGAAAUGCGUUGAUAUCGGCUGGAACUCCGAUGGCGAAGGCAAGGCUGCUGGGACCCUCUCGUGACGCUGAGGCGCGAAAGUGUGGGGAGCGAACAGG
rnacentral:rRNA from 1 species